rnacentral:rRNA from 1 species
AUUGAACGCUGGCGGCAGGCCUAACACAUGCAAGUCGAGCGGUAGCACAGAGAGCUUGCUCUCGGGUGACGAGCGGCGGACGGGUGAGUAAUGUCUGGGAAACUGCCUGAUGGAGGGGGAUAACUACUGGAAACGGUAGCUAAUACCGCAUAACGUCGCAAGACCAAAGUGGGGGACCUUCGGGCCUCAUGCCAUCAGAUGUGCCCAGAUGGGAUUAGCUAGUAGGUGGGGUAACGGCUCACCUAGGCGACGAUCCCUAGCUGGUCUGAGAGGAUGACCGGCCACACUGGAAAUGGGACACGGUCCAGACUCCUACGGGAGGCAGCAGUGGGGAAUAUUGCACAAUGGGCGCAAGCCUGAUGCAGCCAUGCCGCGUGUGUGAAGAAGGCCUUCGGGUUGUAAAGCACUUUCAGCGGGGAGGAAGGCGGUGAGGUUAAUAACCUCAUCGAUUGACGUUACCCGCAGAAGAAGCACCGGCUAACUCCGUGCCAGCCGCCGCAGUAACAC